GCCCGUCUAGCUCAGUCCGUAGAGCGCAAGGCUCUUACCUUGUGGUCCUGGGCUAAAGCCCCAGUUGGGCG
rnacentral:tRNA from 1 species